rnacentral:rRNA from 1 species
UACGUAGGGGGCAAGCGUUGUCCGGAAUCAUUGGGCGUAAAGCGCGUGUAGGCGGCCCGGUAAGUCCGCUGUGAAAGUCGGGGGCUCAACCCUCGAAUGCCGGUGGAUACUGUCGGGCUAGAGUACGGAAGAGGCGAGUGGAAUUCCUGGUGUAGCGGUGAAAUGCGCAGAUAUCAGGAGGAACACCAAUUGCGAAGGCAGCUCGCUGGGACGGUACUGACGCUGAGACGCGAAAGCGUGGGGAGCAAACAGG